ACUUCCCAUUUCCCAAAACCUAAAUCAAAAAUUAGAUUUAGGGUUCUUCCUUAGCUCUGUCUCUGUUGCGACUGCUGCGAGCCUGCGAUUGCUGCCUUCUUACUCAGCUCUGUGCGAUUGCUGCCUUCUUCCUCAGCUCGGUUGUGAUGCCUUCUUCCUCAAUUUGCAGCAUUUCCAUGCUUGUUUAUUGCAUGAUAACUGAGAAUAUAUCCUCAAAUACUCGGGCACCUUCUUGUAACGGUGGCAUGAAUCCUUGAACGUAAAAGAUAAGAAUGGGAUGAUGUCUUCUCAAGUGUAUCCCAACUACGACGAAGAAAUGUGUAAAUUUUUUGUGAGGGAUAUAGGAGGCUCUAACUUGCACUAACUAGUUCACACGCAUUCUCCAUAUGUCUAUCGUGUGUCAAAUCUCAUCUGAAUUGGCCUUACUUCUUGGGUUUUAGUGCAGAGACUGCAUAGUUCAUAGCUUUUUAUUUGCCAAAGGAGUAGGCAAAAGUUGCUCACCUAAAUUAUGUUCAAGAUGUAGUAUGGUAUGUUCUUGGUCUCUCGGUUGCUUAGUUAAACUCUUAUUUAUUUUGAAAUUAGUUUCAAGACCUGCUUUAUGAACUAUUAGCCUGUAGAUUUUGAGCAUUUAGCUAGGACUAGGAUAUAUAUUUGAGAAAAUUGUAAGGAGAGUACGAAAAUACUGGCUAUCAAGUACGAGAGAGGGCUAAAUGCUUGUGAAGUUGCACCAUAUUACAAAGUGUGGUGAGUUAAAAGAAUUACAAAUGACAUUAUAUGCAUAGAUGAUCGGAUUACUCACCGAGGUUGGGUUAUUUUUAUCUUUUAAAUAAAAUUUUCAUUGUGUACC